rnacentral:rRNA from 1 species
CUCGCGCGAUUGGAGCGGCCGAUAUCAGAUUAGGUAGUUGGUGGGGUAAAGGCUCACCAAGCCAACGAUCUGUAGCUGGUCUGAGAGGACGACCAGCCACACUGGAACUGAGACACGGUCCAGACUCCUACGGGAGGCAGCAGUGGGGAAUUUUGGACAAUGGACGCAAGUCUGAUCCAGCCAUUCCGCGUGCAGGAUGAAGGCCCUCGGGUUGUAAACUGCUUUUGUACGGAACGAAAAAGUUUGUCUUAAUACGAUGAGCUCAUGACGGUACCGUAAGAAUAAGCACCGGCUAACUACGUGCCAGCAGCCGCGGUAAUACGUAGGGUGCAAGCGUUAAUCGGAAUUACUGGGCGUAAAGCGUGCGCAGGCGGUUAUGUAAGACAGAGGUGAAAUCCCCGGGCUCAACCUGGGAACUGCCUUUGUGACUGCAUAGCUAGAGUACGGUAGAGGGGGAUGGAAUUCCGCGUGUAGCAGUGAAAUGCGUAGAUAUGCGGAGGAACACCGAUGGCGAAGGCAAUCCCCUGGACCUGUACUGACGCUCAUGCACGAAAGCGUGGGGAGCAAACAGGAUUAGAUACCCUGGUAGUCCACGCCCUAAACGAUGUCAACUGGUUGUUGGGUCUUCACUGACUCAGUAACGAAGCUAACGCGUGAAGUUGACCGCCUGGGGAGUACGGCCGCAAGGUUGAAACUCAAAUGAAUUGACGG